rnacentral:lncRNA from 1 species
GUUUACACAGAGAGGGACAGAGAGAGACGUAGGGGCCAGGUUUACACAGAGAGGGACAGAGAGAGACGUAGGGGCCAGGUUUACACAGAGAGGGAAAGAGAUAUGAAGGGCCAGGUUUACACAGAGAGGGACAGAGACGUAGGGGCCAGGGUUUACACAGAGAGGGACAGAGAGAAGUAGGGGCCAGGUUUACACAGAGAGGGACAGAGAGAUGAAGGGCCCAGGUUUACACAGAGAGGGACAGAGAGAGACGUAGGGGCCAGGUUUACACAGAGAGGGACAGAGACGUAGGGGCCAGGUUUACACAGAGAGGGACAGAGAGAGACGUAGGGGCCAGGUUUACACAGAGAGGGACAGAGAGAGACGUAGGGGCCAGGUUUACACAGAGAGGGACAGAGAGAGACGUAGGGGCCAGGUUUACACAGAGAGGGACAGAGAGACGUAGGGCCUUAUUAUUAAAGAUGUAGUUUGAGUAUAACUCUGACUGGUGUGAAAGGUUUCUCUCUCCUCAUUUGAUAAGACAGAA